GGGCGCUUAGCUCAGUUGGCGAGAGCGCCGCGUUUACACCGCGGAGGUCGGGGGUUCGAGUCCCUCAGCGCCCA
rnacentral:tRNA from 1 species